UACGUAGGGUCCGAGCGUUGUCCGGAAUUACUGGGCGUAAAGAGCUCGUAGGUGGUUUGUCGCGUUGUUCGUGAAAACUCACAACUCAAUUGUGGGCGUGCGGGCGAUACGGGCAGACUGGAGUACUGCAGGGGAGACUGGAAUUCCUGGUGUAGCGGUGAAAUGCGUAGAUAUCAAGAGGAACACCUGAGGUGAAGACGGGUUGCUGGGCUGACACUGACGCUGAGGCGCGAAAGCCAGGGGAGCAAACGGG
rnacentral:rRNA from 1 species